UUGCUGUGACGACUAACUUAGGACACCUUUGGAAUAGCCAUGAAAGGAGACUCUUCUGAGCAAC
ensembl:snoRNA SNORD58 Small nucleolar RNA SNORD58